rnacentral:rRNA from 1 species
AGGACGAACGCUGGCGGCGUGCUUAACACAUGCAAGUCGAACGGUAAGGCCCCUUCGGGGGUACACGAGUGGCGAACGGGUGAGUAACACGUGAGUAACCUACCCUUGACUCUGGGAUAACACCUGGAACCAGGUGCUAAUACCGGAUACGAACCUCCUAGACAUCUUCGAGGUUGGAAAGCUCCGGCGGUCAUGGAUGGACUCGCGGCCUAUCAGCUUGUUGGUGAGGUAACGGCUCACCAAGGCUUCGACGGGUA